rnacentral:rRNA from 1 species
GCAUCGAUGAAGAACGCAGCGAAACGCGAUAGGUAAUGUGAAUUGCAGAAUUCCGUGAAUCAUCGAAUCUUUGAACGCACCUUGCGCUCCAUGGCAUUCCGUGGAGCAUGCCUGUUUGAGUGCCGCGAAAUCUCCCACCCCUAGCGGUUGCCGCAAGGCGCCGCCGGGCGGCGGGGUUGGUUGGGUGCCGCUGCCUGGGCUUUGGCCCAGGCUCGCCCGAAAUGCAUGAGCGCUUAGCACUCGCACCGUCUCGAGGGAAGGCGGCGGAGCUGGCAUCUGCGCAUGGCAUGACACGUCAUUUGCUGUGUGGCAGCCCAGCGACCCGAGAGUGUGUGUGCGCUACUACACGCCCUUUCAUUUCUGGUCUCAAAUCAGGUAGGAUCACCCGCUGAACUUAAGCAUAUCAAUAAGCGGAGGA